CAGGAAGCAGAACCAGAACCCUCUCGGUGGAACUGGCUCCCAGUUUGACUUCAGGUAUCAGACCCCCUCUCUACCUUCAGAUCAGCUUUAAACUUUC